CCCUGACCUACAGUAUCUUUUAUUGUAGUCCACCUUUUUCAUGCUUUCUUUAUACAUUUUUGAAACCGCUGCAGAUCAAAGUUAACAGUGAGAUGGCUGUGUGCACAGAGACAUCAGAGGACUUCAGGUUGGCAAUAGUGCGUAUUACAAUCACACAGUUUCCAACCCCCAACACUGAAAAGAUUUUUGCUUUUUCUUUCUACAGAAGAAAUUGUGAGUGUUUGACUUUCCUCUCUGCCAUCUGGAGUUCCCCCAGGGGUUUGGAAGUUGGUAGUGUUGGCUUUCCCGGUUGUUCUGACUUUGAAGAAGGGGAGGAAUCCUGUCACUGCGGUUGCAAAGAAGAAGACUAUGAUUAAGCCCAAUGGGGUGAAAUGCAUUAACGGGGCAUGACCACAGGCAGGGACUGCGCAGGAAGUCAGUGUGGCUAAAUAAAGUAUCCAUGGUUAUGACGAUA